AGUCCAUGUUUGGGCACUUCCUUAGCAUAGUCUUUAAACAUUUCCACGCCUCGUACAAGGACUCACCUUCGUAUUGUUUAAAGUAGGAAAUUUCUCCACUAAGCU
rnacentral:snoRNA from 1 species